AUUGAACGCUUGCUUCCGGCCUCCCCCCUGCACGUCGAGCGGAUGAAGGGAGCUUGCUCCUGGAUUCAGCGGCGGACGGGUGAGUAAUGCCUAGGAAUCUGCCUGGUAGUGGGGGAUAACGUCCGGAAACGGGCGCUAAUACCGCAUACGUCCUGAGGGAGAAAGUGGGGGAUCUUCGGACCUCACGCUAUCAGAUGAGCCUAGGUCGGAUUAGCUAGUUGGUGGGGUAAAGGCCUACCAAGGCGACGAUCCGUAACUGGUCUGAGAGGAUGAUCAGUCACACUGGAACUGAGACACGGUCCAGACUCCUACGGGAGGCAGCAGUGGGGAAUAUUGGACAAUGGGCGAAAGCCUGAUCCAGCCAUGCCGCGUGUGUGAAGAAGGUCUUCGGAUUGUAAAGCACUUUAAGUUGGGAGGAAGGGCAGUAAGUUAAUACCUUGCUGUUUUGACGUUACCAACAGAAUAAGCACCGGCUAACUUCGUG
rnacentral:rRNA from 1 species